rnacentral:rRNA from 1 species
UACGUAGGGUGCGAGCGUUGUCCGGAUUUAUUGGGCGUAAAGAGCUCGUAGGCGGCUUGUCACGUCGGAUGUGAAAGCCCCGAGGCUUAACCUCGGGUCUGCAUUCGAUACGGGCUAGCUAGAGUGUGGUAGGGGAGAUCGGAAUUCCUGGUGUAGCGGUGAAAUGCGCAGAUAUCAGGAGGAACACCGGUGGCGAAGGCGGAUCUCUGGGCCAUUACUGACGCUGAGGAGCGAAAGCGUGGGGAGCGAACAGG